rnacentral:rRNA from 1 species
AUGUGGAAGACCAACAGGCCCUCGCAGAUAAGACCUUAUGACAAAAACAAGUACAUUGUUAGAUUCCCUCCCAACAAAAAGAUCAAGGACCUGGUAGAAAUUCCUUCAAUCAAUCUAAAGAAGGAAGGGGUAACAAUAUCUUUUGUUGAUUGGAAUGGAGAACACCCUGUCUAUGACAACCUGACUGAAACUUGGAUUGUUAUUGGAGGAUUUCCACCUAAAUGGCUAUCUUGGUCAACUAUUGCUCAAGUGGGCACAACACUUGGAGUGAUCGUCAACAUUGACUGGCAUACUAUUUUUAGAAGCUUUUAUGAGAAAGUCAGGAUCCUGGUAGCUGUCAGAGACCCUGUGAAGAUCCCUAGAGACAGGAUUGUAGAAAUCAAUCAUGAGUUGUACCUGCUGAAUUUUUCUGUGGAGAGGGAUGCUAAUAUUGGGAACACCUCUGACAAGCCAUCUGGACCUAAUGAUAAUCCUGAAGAUUCUAACAAAAAGAAUUAG